rnacentral:sRNA from 1 species
AAGAGUGACAUCUUUUACAUUUCGCGAC